CAGUUCAAGCGCGUAUUCGUUGUUGUCCUGAUCUACCAUAACCGUCAUUUGACUGAAUUCGCCCAGACUUUCAGGUAAGUGUCUCAGAACGCUUCCGCAUGACCCGUCAUUGCAGAAAAUCGUUACCAACUCUAGUGGCGUACCAGCGACGGUAUCGUGGGGCGGGUUCCGUCACAAUUCGUUUCCUCUGUGCACGAAAAUUUUGAACGCUGGUUUUGACUCCGCUGUCGACAGACGGCUCCGGUCAUGUAGACUUGGCCGUCCAGAUCCGAUCUGAGGUCCACUCACAAAGGAGACUUCUAUGGCGAUUCAGGCGCAUCUCGUUGAACUGGAACGUAAACACGAAGUUCUGGAAAACGAAUUGCACGAUGCUCUCCAGCAUCUUUCCACCGACGACCUCCAGAUUAUCGAACUCAAGCGCCGUAAGCUGGUGCUCAAGGACCAGAUCG
rnacentral:misc_RNA from 1 species